CCCUUCUCUCAUCCGUCCGUCCUGUCUGGCUAUCUCCACUCUCUAUACUCUCCAGUCUCCACCCUCUUCUCUUCCCCUUCUCACUAUUAAAUUUUCUCACUCUUAAACCUUCAAUAGAUUCUCUCCUCAACGCCUUCUCCCUCUGAAGGUGGGGUUUCAGUCGAACUCGUGGCUUAUCGCCUGCAGCUCUGUCGCCAAAACUAAAACUGGAACUUCUUCCCCGAUAGCCCAAACCAACGUCGUCUUCGUCAAUCCAGUUUAUGUCCCCACGCCGGUUAAUCAAGACACUCAUUGAAGAUUUCAAUGGCAAGUGAAAGCGAUAAUCCAGCUCCUACUCCUAGUGAUGCUACUACGCAGCCUACGCCUAUUGGGAUACCGUCAUUGUCACCAACACCAACUGCACAGCAAACUAUAAUCUCCACUAAUGAAAGUGAUGCUGUUAAUUCUAAGAAACAAAAAGCACUUCCACCAAGGCCUGAAGUUUGGAAACACUUCACUAGAUUCGUCAAUGAUCAAGGGUACAACCUGCAUUUAUGCUAAGUUGCUCAUAGCAUCAAGAGGCAUUUGAGGAAGAAAUAAUCUUUAAAGGUUAUCUGCAUUCAAGAUUAUUUGUUGUUGUUUUUAUCCAUUGUUGAAGACUGAAAAUGAUUUGCUAUUAUUUG